AUAGAAAGAGAAGACCUAAUGCAUGACUUCAUUUUCUUCUUCCUAAAAUCAUCCGAAAGAAACCAAAGUAUAGCUUCAUCUUCUUAAAAUCAUCGAAGAGAAGAUGAACAUACGCUUUAAGUUGAUUUUUCUGUUGAGAGAGAAUGCUUAUAGUAUGGUGGUUUGCAGAAAGAGAGAGAGAAGGAGGGAAGCGGCUGAGUGUGAGAAAAUUAAUUUGAGGGCUCAAUCCGAAAGAAACCCAAAGUAUAGGUUCAUCUUCUUAAAAUCAUCGAAGAGAAGACCUAAAUUGCACAAUUUCAUCUUCUUGAAAUUAAAGAGAAGACCCAAAUUGCACAGCUUGCAUCUUUAUGAAGAAAAAAAAAUUGAAGAGUCGCAGCUUCAUCUUCUUGAAAUCGAAGAGUCUGAGCUUUAUCUUCUUGAAAUCAAAGAGUCUUCAUCUUCCUAGAAGUAGAAUCUUAAAUCAGCACAAUUUUAUAAUCAACAAACUUCUUGCUUCAUCAUUGGACCAAUGGAGACUUGCUCAUCUUCUUGAUAUGGUGAUUUUAAUCAAAGAUGUUUCAGAAUAUCCAAGCAUGAAAGAUGCAUCUGUUCUUGUCAAUUUAAAAUAGUAUGUAAAUGUAUGUAAUUAGCACUCCCACAUAUGGAAAUGUUAGACUAUGUAAGUAUCUCACUUUAACAUUCAGUAGUAUGAUAUUCACAUCAAUAUAUAAUGAACAUAUUUGGCAGCUAUAAUAUGUUUAAAUUAGUAAUUU